UACGUAGGGUGCAAGCGUUGUCCGGAAUUAUUGGGCGUAAAGAGCUCGUAGGCGGUUUGUCGCGUCUGCUGUGAAAACUCGGGGCUUAACCCCGGGCCUGCAGUGGGUACGGGCAGACUAGAGUGCGGUAGGGGAGACUGGAAUUCCUGGUGUAGCGGUGAAAUGCGCAGAUAUCAGGAGGAACACCGGUGGCGAAGGCGGGUCUCUGGGCCGUAACUGACGCUGAGGAGCGAAAGCGUGGGGAGCGAACAGGAUUAGAAC
rnacentral:rRNA from 1 species